AGAUUAAGUUAUUAAGGGCGCACGGUGGAUGCCUUGGCACUAGAAGCCGAAGAAGGACGUUACUAACGACGAUAUGCUUUGGGUAGCUGUAAGUAAGCGUUGAUCCAGAGAUUUCCGAAUGGGGGAACCCAACAUGAGUUAUGUCAUGUUAUCGACAUGUGAAUUCAUAGCAUGUCAGAAGGCAGACCCGGAGAACUGAAACAUCUUAGUACCCGGAGGAAGAGAAAGAAAAAUCGAUUCCCUGAGUAGCGGCGAGCGAAACGGGAAGAGCCCAAACCAACAAGCUUGCUUGUUGGGGUUGUAGGACACUCUAUACGGAGUUACAAAAGAACAUGUUAGACGAAUCAUCUGGAAAGAUGAAUCAAAGAAGGUAAUAAUCCUGUAGUCGAAAACAUAUUCUCUCUUGAGUGGAUCCUGAGUACGACGGAGCACGUGAAAUUCCGUCGGAAUCUAGGAGGACCAUCUCCUAAGGCUAAAUACUCUCUAGUGACCGAUAGUGAACCAGUACCGUGAGGGAAAGGUGAAAAGUACCCCGGAAGGGGAGUGAAAGAGAACUUGAAACCGUGUGCUUACAAGUAGUCAGAGCCCGUUUAUGGGUGAUGGCGUGCCUUUUGUAGAAUGAACCGGCGAGUUACGAUCUGAUGCAAGGUUAAGCAGUGAAUGUGGAGCCGUAGCGAAAGCGAGUCUGAAUAGGGCGUUGAGUAUUUGGUCGUAGACCCGAAACCAGGUGAUCUACCCUUGGUCAGGUUGAAGUUCAGGUAACACUGAAUGGAGGACCGAACCGACUUACGUUGAAAAGUGAGCGGAUGAACUGAGGGUAGCGGAGAAAUUCCAAUCGAACUUGGAGAUAGCUGGUUCUCUCCGAAAUAGCUUUAGGGCUAGCCUCAAGUGAUGAUUAUUGGAGGUAGAGCACUGUUUGGACGAGGGGCCCCUCUCGGGUUACCGAAUUCAGACAAACUCCGAAUGCCAAUCAAUUUAACUUGGGAGUCAGAACAUGGGUGAUAAGGUCCGUGUUCGAAAGGGAAACAGCCCAGACCACCAGCUAAGGUCCCAAAAUAUAUGUUAAGUGGAAAAGGAUGUGGCGUUGCCCAGACAACUAGGAUGUUGGCUUAGAAGCAGCCAUCAUUUAAAGAGUGCGUAAUAGCUCACUAGUCGAGUGACACUGCGCCGAAAAUGUACCGGGGCUAAACAUAUUACCGAAGCUGUGGAUUGUCCUUCGGACAAUGGUAGGAGAGCGUUCUAAGGGCGUUGAAGCAUGAUCGCAAGGACAUGUGGAGCGCUUAGAAGUGAGAAUGCCGGUGUGAGUAGCGAAAGACGGGUGAGAAUCCCGUCCACCGAUUGACUAAGGUUUCCAGAGGAAGGCUCGUCCGCUCUGGGUUAGUCGGGUCCUAAGCUGAGGCCGACAGGCGUAGGCGAUGGAUAACAGGUUGAUAUUCCUGUACCACCUAGUAUCGUUUUAAUCGAUGGGGGGACGCAGUAGGAUAGGCGAAGCGUGCUGUUGGAGUGCACGUCCAAGCAGUAAGGCUGAGUGUUAGGCAAAUCCGGCACUCGUUAGGCUGAGCUGUGAUGGGGAGAGGAAAUUGUUUCCUCGAGUCGUUGAUUUCACACUGCCGAGAAAAGCCUCUAGAUAGAUAACAGGUGCCCGUACCGCAAACCGACACAGGUAGUCAAGAUGAGAAUUCUAAGGUGAGCGAGCGAACUCUCGUUAAGGAACUCGGCAAAAUGACCCCGUAACUUCGGGAGAAGGGGUGCUCUUUAGGGUUCACGCCCAGAAGAGCCGCAGUGAAUAGGCCCAAGCGACUGUUUAUCAAAAACACAGGUCUCUGCUAAACCGUAAGGUGAUGUAUAGGGGCUGACGCCUGCCCGGUGCUGGAAGGUUAAGAGGAGUGGUUAGCUUCUGCGAAGCCACGAAUCGAAGCCCCAGUAAACGGCGGCCGUAACUAUAACGGUCCUAAGGUAGCGAAAUUCCUUGUCGGGUAAGUUCCGACCCGCACGAAAGGCGUAACGAUUUGGGCACUGUCUCAACGAGAGACUCGGUGAAAUCAUAGUACCUGUGAAGAUGCAGGUUACCCGCGACAGGACGGAAAGACCCCGUGGAGCUUUACUGUAGCCUGAUAUUGAAAUUCGGCACAGCUUGUACAGGAUAGGUAGGAGCCAUUGAAACGUGAGCGCUAGCUUACGUGGAGGCGUUGGUGGGAUACUACCCUAGCUGUGUUGGCUUUCUAACCCGCACCACUUAUCGUGGUGGGAGACAGUGUCAGGCGGGCAGUUUGACUGGGGCGGUCGCCUCCUAAAAGGUAACGGAGGCGCUCAAAGGUUCCCUCAGAAUGGUUGGAAAUCAUUCACAGAGUGUAAAGGCAUAAGGGAGCUUGACUGCGAGACCUACAAGUCGAGCAGGGUCGAAAGACGGACUUAGUGAUCCGGUGGUUCCGCAUGGAAGGGCCAUCGCUCAACGGAUAAAAGCUACCCCGGGGAUAACAGGCUUAUCUCCCCCAAGAGUUCACAUCGACGGGGAGGUUUGGCACCUCGAUGUCGGCUCAUCGCAUCCUGGGGCUGUAGUCGGUCCCAAGGGUUGGGCUGUUCGCCCAUUAAAGCGGUACGCGAGCUGGGUUCAGAACGUCGUGAGACAGUUCGGUCCCUAUCCGUCGUGGGCGUAGGAAAUUUGAGAGGAGCUGUCCUUAGUACGAGAGGACCGGGAUGGACAUACCUCUGGUGUACCAGUUGUCGUGCCAACGGCAUAGCUGGGUAGCUAUGUAUGGACGGGAUAAGUGCUGAAAGCAUCUAAGCAUGAAGCCCCCCUCAAGAUGAGAUUUCCCAACUUCGGUUAUAAGAUCCCUCGAAGAUGACGAGGUUAAUAGGUUCGAGGUGGAAGCGUGGUGACACGUGGAGCUGACGAAUACUAAUCGAUCGAAGACUUAAUCAAU
rnacentral:rRNA from 1 species